rnacentral:rRNA from 1 species
UACAGAGGUCUCAAGCGUUGUUCGGAUUCAUUGGGCGUAAAGGGUGCGUAGGCGGCGCGGUAAGUCGGGUGUGAAAUCUUGGAGCUUAACUCCGAAACUGCAUUCGAUACUGCCGUGCUUGAGGACUGGAGAGGAGACUGGAAUUUACGGUGUAGCGGUGAAAUGCGUAGAUAUCGAGAGGAACACCGGCGGCGAAGGCGGCCAACUGGACGAAUACUGACGCUGAGACACGAAAGCGUGGGGAGCAAACAGG